GAUGAACGCUGGCGGCGUGCCUAAUACAUGCAAGUCGAGCGAACGGACGAGAGGCUUGCUUCUCUGAUGUUAGCGGCGGACGGGUGAGUAACACGUGGAUAACCUACCUAUAAGACUGGGAUAACUUCGGGAAACCGUAGCUAAUACCGGAUAAUAUUUUGAACCGCAUGGUUCAAAAGUGAAAGACGGUCUUGCUGUCACUUAUAGAUGGAUCCGCGCUGCAUUAGCUAGUUGGUAAGGUAACGGCUUACCAAGGCAACGAUGCAUAGCCGACCUGAGAGUGUGAUCGGCCACACUGGAACUGAGACACGGUCCAGACUCCUACGGGAGGCAGCAGUAGGGAAUCUUCCGCAAUGGGCGAAAGCCUGACGGAGCAACGCCGCGUGAGUGAUGAAGGUCUUCGGAUCGUAAAACUCUGUUAUUAGGGAAGAACAUAUGUGUAAGUAACUGUGCACAUCUUGACGGUACCUAAUCAGAAAGCCACGGCUAACUACGUG
rnacentral:rRNA from 1 species